UUCUUUGAAUGGUGUUUUUUUCUUCAUCCUCUUUCUCCUGUUUUGUUUGUAAUAAUUUACAUGAGUUGCCUGGUUUGAAGUAUAUUAGUUCCCUCCUCAUCUGGAGUUCUUUCUCAAAAGGUUAGCUGUCUCCCGUGGUUAUCAGACCAGGAUCCAACCAUGCUGCUAUUUAAAUCCCCUCCAGCAUUUAGAGCAGUUCUGUGUUUGUAAGAAAAGAUAUGCUUAGCUGUUGUGACUGCAGUCAGAAUUAUCUAUUUUAACUGAGGACAAAAUUUUUACUCGAAUUUCAGCUGCAGAAUGUUUACUGCAGCAGCUGUUAGGAUUCCCCUUUUUUAAAGGCAUACUGUGGAACUUGCACAAGUUUAUGGAGUAGGUGUUUGAGGGUUGUUUGGAGCAGCUUUUUUACUAGCUGCUGCUUACAAAAGUUUUUAACCACAGACAAGUAUGUCUCUUUGUUUGCAUAGUGGUUUUUACUGAUGGAGAGAACUGGGAUAAGUUGAACUACAAAGGUCAUGGAUCCGUGUACUGUGGCACCAGUAAUCUUGCUUGUGGAACCCUGUAUUUAAUGUUCCGUGUCCGUGACAGUUUCUCUUCGUUUAUGUUCUCUGUUCUCAUAAGAAAUGCUGUGCUAACAACUUCUGCUUCCCAUUUGAAAGUACAGAUGCCAGUUUCACUAACAAGUCUGCUUUUGGAAUUCUUUUCUACUAGGCAGCUGCCUCUGAAACUGUUGAUGUGGGGUUUGGUUGUUGGUUUUGUUUUCAUGUUUGUUCUUUUUUGUUGUUUGGUUUGUGCUUUGGGGUUUAUUUUAAGCAUGCUGGACUGAGGGGUUGGUAGAGGGAAGCAUGAGAUAGGAUCACAGGUAAAAUCUAGGAAAUUCUGAUAAACAGUCUCACCAGUUGUCCUCUCAUUAACAGGCCCCUUCCUCUGCACCCUUGCAGAGUCACAGGGCCACUACUCUGUUGUACGUGGUGUGAAACAGAACUCAUACCCUCCAUACCUCAAGAAGGCUCGAAGAUCUGUGGCCUCUUUGUCCAUUCUUGAGUGUUGGUUAUUCACAUGCUCUGGAUAUUUAAUUGAUUUUGCACCUCUGACUAUUGCAAGCAUAAAGCUGUUAUUUCUGGUUGCACUGUACUAAGGAGUUCAGUAGAAAAGUUCCAUUCCAGCACCACUAAAAGCAAAUAGCAGACAUGACUUGAAACUGCCUCAACUAAACAGCUCAGCAGCACCUGUCAAAACAUAUUGUGCAGGCACCUCAUGAAUGCUGGAUGACUAAGCCACGGAAAAGCAGUUGCUGAAGCAGUGGGCCUCCAUGGGAAGACUUAUGCUUAUUUAAAAAAAAAUAAAUUGUUCAACUUCCUUCUACCUUUGGAGCACUCCGUGACAGAGUAUGCACACAGCUUUGUUUUGGAUGCCUUGUAUUUUACAAUUGCUCUUCCACUCUUACUACAACUCAGUAACACUUGGCUGCAGCUAUUGGGAGCUGAUGAAGGAACACACUUAUGGGAGUAUUUACUGUAUGUCUGAGGACUAUUUAGUGAGUUACUGUCAUUUCUCUGUCAUGAAUCAUGACAUGAAGCUAAUGCCCUUACUCGCUACCUCUGGAAGAAGCCUCUCCCUACCAAUUGCCCCAGUACUUCCCAUGCACUGAAGAUGGAAUACAUAAGAGAGCACAGGAUCAGAAAGUUUUUAUUUUGAUUAAAAUCAAGAGUGGGGUUUGUUCUGCAGCAAAAUGGUAGCUGGUUCAGAGGACUUGAUAGAAGAAAGUCUCUACCACCUUACUUCCCCUGCAUAGUUAGAUCCCAUGGGCAAUCCUGAGUUUACCAGUCAUAGCUUACACUAUUACUCUAUUUCAAACAAGACACAGUGCAAGAGAACAAAGAGGAUAGUCCUGCUUCGUUGGUAUCCCUGCUCUAGUUUCAGGGAUAUUUAUUUAUUUAUUUAUCUAUCUAUCCAAGACAGAUGUUAAAGAUGCAUAACAUGAUAUGUUGGUUAAAUAUACAUAACACUAUCAGAACUCCCCUGGCUGAGAAGCACUGCAGCAGCUGUAUGGAAUGCAAGUUACAUGAUGAAAGCUUUUUGGAAAGGGGGGAUUGAAGGAAUGAAAACCCUAAGGAAAAUCAUUUCAGAGGUAGAAAAAAGUGCCAUUGUGACAGACUGAAUCUGAGACUUGGACCAAAUUCCCUCAGUACCAAGCUCAGAACAGCUAGGGGGAUUUCUCAUAACCAGCACAUUAGCAAUUCUUUUGACUGUUGAGAGGGGCACAGAAAAUUGUUGCUAACCUAUAAGGAUAAUUCAGCUUGACUUUGUUAAACAAAGGUGUUGCUUUCCUCUUAAAUUCUCUGGUACCUUUUAAAUGCAAAGCAAUGAGGUUUUUUGUUCCGUUGGUGGUUUCUUUUGAAAAAGCAAUGCUCUCUUUUAACUGCAGGGUUCUCUACCCCUGAGUGCUGUUAAAUUUCAAGGUACUGUAAGAAUGAAAGUGCUUUCCACUUGGCAUCAAUUAAAUGUCCUGCAAUGCAACUGCCCUCCCCACAGUACCAAGCCCUGUGUCACAGACAGAACUGUGCUAUGUUUUAAGUUGCAUAGCACCUUACUGCGAUUUAGGCUGCUCUUCCCAUCUCGUUUCAAGGAUGAACAAAAAUGCAAAUUAACUUAGGGAGUAAGUUCACAAGCGAUUUUGAAAGUAUGGCUGUGUGCAUUUCUUUGUUCAGUUCUAGUUUCUUUAUGAACAGUUAUUCUCUGUUCCUUUCUAAAGGGGCUCAAAAGCGAAAGCUCUUUUGGUCAAUAGGUGGUGAGACUCCUUACGUAAAUUUAUUAUUUGAAAUACAUUUAUAACAUUUACAUAUAGCUACUUAUCUGCUAGAUGUUAGAAAAUCAGUGUCCAUUCCUGAGCCUUUGGGUCUUAAGCUAUUUUGGAUAGAGUCAGCGUAGGUGAUCACAGGCAGUCCAUGAUAUUUCAGCAUCUCCUGCCCAAAGCAUUUCAGUUCUUCAUGAGCUAAAUCACAGAGACUGUGUGUUGGAAUCCCUUUAUAUAACACUUCGCAGACAAGAGUCCUUAGCAGCCCACAGAAAUAUUUUGUCCUGAUCUACAGAUGAGGAACAAGAAAAACAAAAACCAGCUUUACUGGUGGCGUAUGUGGAGACAUUUUGGAGAUGAUUCCAGAAACACACCAUGGAAAUUGUCCCAAAUGUCAGAGAUCAUCUUGUCUCCUCAAAAAUCUGAGCAUCAUGGGGCUUGACCAAGCAUGAAUCAUUUCUUGACCAAGCAUGAAUCUUGAGUACAUCCUCUGCAAAGGUCAGUACCAUGUGGCUUGUAGCACUGAGCUCUCUGUCCCUCAGCCUUUUUAACUAAGUACCCAGACGGGAAAAAUCUCUCUGUGGAAAACUGCAAUUGCAGAUAGUGUAAUUAUAGGGGGUUGUUAGAAGGGGAAACAAUCCUGUCUGCCUCCCAAACCUGCAUGAGAUGCACGUACUAACUAACUUCACUAGCUUCUUACUGCCAAAAAGGUGGCCAAAGUCUGUCCUACUGCAGCUGGCAUUCAGAUGUUAUUUAAGUAACUAUUUGCAAACCUGCAGCUGACCAGCAGAAUGCAUCUUCCAUAGCUAUCAUAUUUGUCCUUGUUACCAUAUUAAUUAAAUCCCAUAAACCUCCCUCUCUUAAUUGAGGAAUACAGCCACAUAUGAAGAGUUUAAAGAAAGUCAAAACAAAUCAUUCUGUAUAAUAAGCUGGACACCUUCAAAAGCCUGCUAGUCAGUUUUAGGAGCCUCAUUACAGGGUAAUUAGUUGUGUCUGGAUAGUCCUCAGAAGCAAAUUAACAGUGUUUUAAAAAGCAGUGCAUAAGACUUGAAUUCAUCCCUUUUGGCAGCUGCAUAAUCAUCAUCUAGGAUUGCCAUAUAAUUCUUUUCUUGCACCUAAAAUAUGUUCUCAUGACUGGCAGCCACUGAGCCCAUGUUAAAACACAUUUGCAUACAUAUGAACAUGACCAAGAGAAACUGAGUAUUUAUACAUCAGCCACUCUGUGCAGCUUGGAUGGUGGGGUUUAGUUUGUUGUGGUGCUAUUCUGUUUUUAAAAGAACAAAGCUUGUGAUACUGUGCACCACGGGAAAGGCACGAAAGGCAUAAGCAAGCUGAAUUGAAUGUGUGGCGGUUCUGCUCCUGUCUGAAAGCAAAUAACUAUACUGAAAUAUAAUUAGGAUAAAUCAAAUAUGCACCACAAUUACAUGGCACAUGGUAAGCAGACUCCAAAAGUGAGUGGUGUAUUUUUACAUCCUCACAUUUCCUGUAUUCCCAAAGCAGAUUCUUUCCUUAUUAUUGCAUUUUUGAGAUGUAAUUAGGUGGUCUCAAAAUAUCUUUUUUCUGUAACAACCCUUUUUUGAAAGUCAAGUCUCUCUCUUUACUAACUGACUUGCAGAGGAAGUGCACAGUAACACCAUAAAAAAACAGUAAAGAGACUUAAUAUUCCCUGUCUGAUAGGUAAGGAAGCAGAAGGAGGGGGAGAGUGUACAAUGAAGUUAAAUUCUAGUACUAUUCAUUACUACUGUAACUUGGUGCUAUGUCUUGAGUAAUACACAUAAUCCAUUUUGUCUCUUAAAAUAUAUUAGCAUUAGAAAAGGAAACAUCUAAUCACUUUAUACCACCCCCUCAUGCACAGACAGAAAACAAAAUUUGCCUUUUUUGCUCAAUACUGGUACCAAAACAAAAGCAAGGUACCAGAGUGGCAGCCUAUGGUUUUGGCCAUCCUGUUCUCUUCAUCCUGUGCAGGGGCCUCACCUGCAUAGUGAUAUAGCAGCGCAUUCUGAAAAGCUGGAAGAUGUGAAGAAUCACUUGAAAGAAAACCAGCCAGUGACUGAAGUGUUACAGAUGCUACAGGCAACGACCACAGGGUCAUUUUUUAUCUUCAUGACCUGAUUUUUCAGUCCCAGAAGUCCUAUGCAGAAAUUCCCUUUUCCAUCUAUAGAAACAAAGCAACCACUUGACAACACAAGCUGUCAAUCCCAAUGGAGGAGUGGGGUUUCUCAAGCAUUAUUUGAUGAAUUUGUCACAGCUGGGUGUUCUUGCAGAUCAAACUUCAGCUGGUUUAAGGUGCAGUUACACAGCUCAGGCACCUGCAGUACACAGCAGAUGCCCCUGUCCUGGGGCC